GGAAUAUUGCUCAAUGGGCGCAAGCCUGAAGCAGCGACGCCGCGUGGGCGAUGAAGGUCUUCGGAUCGUAACGCCCUUUUCUGCGUGACGAGGAAGGAAGGUAGCGCAGGAACAAGUGUCGGCUCACUACGUGCCAGCAGCCGCGGUAAAACGUAGGACGCAAACGUUAUCCGGAAUUACUGGGCGUAAAGAGCGGGUAGGCGGGUGAGUAAGUUGUCCGUGAAAGCUCCCGGCUAAACUGGGAGAGGUCGGAUAAGACUGCUGACCUAGAGGGUGUUAGAGGGAUGCGGAAUUCCGGGUGUAGUGGUGAAAUGCGUAGAGAUCCGGAGGAACACCAGAGGCGAAGGCGGCAUCCUGGGACAUACCUGACGCUGAGACGCGAAAGCAUGGGGAGCGAAC
rnacentral:rRNA from 1 species